CAGGGCUGAUGGCGGCCGUGACGUUGGACGAGUCCGAGGGCGGCCUCCAGACGCCCGGAGGAGCGCUCAGCCUCGUCUGCAAGGCCUCCGGGUUCACCUUCAGCAGCUUCAACAUGUUCUGGGUGCGACAGGCGCCCGGCAAGGGGCUGGAAUACGUCGCUGAAAUUAGCGGCACUGGUAGUAGCACAUACUACGCGCCGGCGGUGAAGGGCCGUGCCACCAUCUCGAGGGACAACGGGCAGAGCACAGUGAGGCUGCAGCUGAACAACCUCAGGGCUGAGGACACCGGCACCUACUACUGCGCCAAAGCUGCUGGUGGUUGUGGUCAGCACUCUGGUUUGAUCAUCGCCACUUCUCCUUUCCAUCUCUCAGGCCCAGUCACGUGUGGGGACCCAGCUCUGACUGUGGGGCAGAGCAGCUCACUGACCCCCACCUCCCCGUGCCGCUGCCCGACCCCUCUCUGCACAAAGGACUUUUCCCCUACAUCCAACCUGACCCCCAACGUUCAAUGUGACCCCAUCUCCUCUCAUUGUAACACAGUUCAUGGAGCAGAGCUGACCCCCCCAGACCCCAACCUCCUCUCGGGG